GGUUAAAACAUGACCUGUAUAUCAUUUUCCCUUUUAAAACCAAAUACCUAAGUCUAGUUAACGCAUUACAUUUUCUUCUGUAUUCGUAAAAGAGUAAACAAUUUUCGUGGGCCCAACCAAAUGCUUUGGUAUAAUCUUUAUCUGGUUCAAUCGAGACCAACCGUUUAGAAAGCAACAGAUUUUGAACAUUUCGCGAGCAGCAAACCCAAAAGGAUCAAAACAGAUUAACCACCACGUCAACUUUGCCUUGAGAAUUGCAGCCUUAAUGUAAGUUCAAUAAAAUAAAAUGAAGAAUUCCUGACACCAUA
rnacentral:lncRNA from 1 species